rnacentral:misc_RNA from 1 species
GCCGAAGGUGGGGCUGAUGACUGGGGUGAAGUUGUAACAAGGUAGCCGUACCGGAAGGUGCGGCUGGAUCACCUCCUACAGGGAGACAACAAUCGAACAUGAUGUCUAAGUUAUUUACUCUUAGGCCAUGUUCCUGUCACCUUAGGUCGAUCGGUACCUCAGGAUUAUUGUCAGAACUUCUAUGAACUAGUUGGUCUGGUUAAUUGAUUUUCAGUUCCUAAACUUUGUCUAGGUCACACCCCGUAAGGGUUACUCCUGGGCCAUUAGCUCAGGUGGUUAGAGCGUACCCCUGAUAAGGGUGAGGUCCCUGGUUCAAGUCCAGGAUGGCCCAUUCUCAAUGUUGGGGGUUUAGCUCAGUUGGUAGAGCGCCUGCUUUGCAAGCAGGAUGUCAGCGGUUCGAGUCCGCUAACCUCCACUAACCAACCCUUCAACGUUCUCAAGGAGAACAUCUUUAAUAUGGUGAGACCUGGAAUUUAAGUCCGCUGAAGGAACCUAGCUUCCUAUCAUUCCUCUUCAAUUUUAAUUGUUUAGGUUGACAGGACGCUGGGCUCAAUGCAAUUCACAAAUUGCACUGAUUUCGGCAGAACCUUGACAACUGCAUAGGUGAGUCUGGAAAAAAUAAAGCAUCUCAUGGAUGCAUUAUUUGUUUUCAAAUCAAGAAAGAUCUGCGUAAGCAGCUCUAUAAAAUUGAUUUGUUGAGCAAAUGAAUGUCGAAUUCUUGAGCAAGCGCUGAGACUCUGUAUCGUUCUUUCGAUGAGAAAUACAUCGAGAGUCAGAUUUAUUUUUCAGUAUUUUAGUUUAAUUAGAUUCUUUUAGUUAACCCUAAAAACAUUUAAAUUAGACCGAAAUCCUUGAAUGAUUUAGAAAUACGUAUCAACUGCGUAUAGACGAUAUGGAGAUUAAAUGGUCAAGCUACCA